UCGGGUAUGGUGUAACGGCUAACAUUGCCGCCUCUCAUAUGAGCAUAACGCGGCAGCUCGGGGUUCGAUUCCCCGUACCCGAA